UCACCACUUCUCUGUCCAAAGGUCCCUCCAUCCGCCAGAGCACCGGGUCAGGCACCCGGGACAUGCCCAGGAGUGGAGAGAAGAGGGGUCCUGAGGGUCCUCACCUUGUGAGAGUCACAUCUUCACUGCUCCUCCCCCAUGGGAUCUUUAUGUAAAUUAAGCCGCACACUUAGAUUCCACAUUUUUCUCAGAUAGGCGCCAACAGGGGCUUUCUGCAUGCCUAGGUGAUGAAGUCAGAGGGUGGAAGGCUCAUGUCUGGGAGAGGGGUCCCGCUAAUAACCCCCUCCCCAACAGGGGUCCUGGGUGUAGACAGAGGCCUCCCCAGCCCAGGCCCUUGGCACGCUGUGUGCGGAGGUGGGCGACCCUCUGUCCACCCUCGGGGAGAGGGUCUGCUUCCUGCCUUCCAUGAGCCGCGCUGGGGCUAGCCAAGGCCUCUGCAGGAGGGGGAAGCACCGAGAGGGUUUCAGGGUUACAGUGGAGGGAGUUUAAUUGGGCG
rnacentral:lncRNA from 1 species